rnacentral:piRNA from 1 species
UCCAUUACUAACAGCUGCAAACUAUAACAAC